UACGGAGGAUGCAAGCGUUAUCCGGAAUGAUUGGGCGUAAAGCGUCCGCAGGUGGCUAUGUAAGUCUGCUGUUAAAGAGUGAGGCUCAACCUCAUAAGAGCAGUGGAAACUACAUAGCUAGAGUGCGUUCGGGGCAGAGGGAAUUCCUGGUGUAGCGGUGAAAUGCGUAGAUAUCAGGAAGAACACCGGUGGCGAAAGCGCUCUACUGGACCGCGACUGACACUGAUGGACGAAAGCUAGGGGAGCGAAUGGG
rnacentral:rRNA from 1 species